GAUGAACGCUGGCGGCGUGCUUAACACAUGCAAGUCGAACGGAAAGGCUCCAGCUUGCUGGAGUCCUCGAGUGGCUAACGGGUGAGUAACACGUGGGUGAUCUGCCCUGCACUUCGGGAUAAGCCUGGGAAACUGGGUCUAAUACCGGAUAGGACCGCACUUUGGUGUGUGUGGUGGAAAGGUUUUUCUGGUGUGGGAUGAGCUCGCGGCCUAUCAGUUUGUUGGUGGGGUAAUGGCCUACCAAGACGGCGACGGGUAGCCGGCCUGAGAGGGUGGACGGUCACAUUGGGACUGAGAUACGGCCCAGACUCCUACGGGAGGCAGCAGUGGGGAAUAUUGCACAAUGGGGGAAACCCUGAUGCAGCGACGCCGCGUGGGGGAUGAAGGCCUUCGGGUUGUAAACUCCUUUCGCUAGGGACGAAGCUUUUUGUGACGGUACCUGGAGAAGAAGCACCGGCUAACUACGUG
rnacentral:rRNA from 1 species